UUAUAGAGCUUAAAAUCUGGACUAUACAUAAUGGUUGUAUUGACAAUUGUCGACCCGACCCGGUCUGACUGACCUAUUGCGAUGUCGACGCCGUGAAGUGACUCAGUACGCUCCCCCAAACCGCUUAUAUCGAAUCCGUGAAGUGACUCACUACACUUUCGCCUCCUUCGAAACUCUUCGCUGUCGCCCCAUCCCCCUCCCUCCAAACCUUCUCCUUUUUUUUUAUGAUCCUCUCCCACUCUUUUCCCUUCCCACUCCCUCUGGACCCCACCUGCUGGAAUCUCCUCUCUCGCCUCCUCCAGCCAGUCCCUAAUCCUCGUUGCGGCGACUCUCUCUGGCUCCCUCCAACUGCUCUCUGCCGGCCCUUUCGGGCUCGAGUUGCUGCACGCGGUGGACGGUAAGGGGUUUCACGAGGGAUCCAUUUGGGGAAGACGGAGGGUCUUCGAUGGGGAGGGUUUGGUGGGGUUUAACGCCGUUAAAUGGGCGUCUCCGAGUGAGUUUGUGACUGUUGGUGUGGAUUUGGACUUCAAUAGUGGGAUCUGAGAAGCCCUGGUGAGCCGGUUUCGCAGUUUAAAGGGAACUGGAUGUUAUAUGUAGUUUGGAGUGGGAAUAUCUAGCAAUCAUGAUAAGACCAUGAUGUUUCGUUUAUAAUUGGAUUUAAAGGGGGUUAACCCCUCAGCUUCUAAUCUGGUCAUGUUCCUCCUUCUCAGCAAUUUACCUAAGAAUCAGAGAGAUGCCCUGCCUCUUGAUGUAAUGUACUCCAUUUUGGCCUUGGACGAUGAAUGGAGCAAGUUCCUGACAGAUAACAACUAUGAUAUUCUUGAAAUGCAAGUAGGAUAAGCAGUGUUUUGAUAAUUUUAUAUCUGGUUUAUUCAUGAAGGCAGUUUAUGCGUUGAUUGAGUCGCAGACAGGCUGUUGCUGUGGGUAAUUUGAUUAUAUGUUUAAUGAUAAGUACAAUUCUAACCAUUUGAUUAUGGUUACUGAAUGAGAAACUUGAAUAGAAGUUCCAAAAGAUGAAAGUCAUGUAAUUGAGUUCUGUAUUUUCAAGAUUUGGUACCAUUCAAGAAGCAAUGAAUUAAAACCUAUACCGGAUCAGUUGAUUGAAUUGGUUGGAGCGAGGUCCGGUGGUUCAUUUGGUUUAUGUUAAUGUUAAUUGACUAGUGAUUGGAUUAGACAGAUCAUGUUGGGCUACCAUUUGCUGGAGAGUCUCUUUGUAUGGUGAUAAAUCUGUUAAAAGGUUAAAUUCCUUUCCUGUUAUAUUAAUUAUGUAUAAUAUACAUGGAAAAUUUUAAUUA